UGCAGGAUUGCAGGAGGCCGUUUGUCAGGCUGUCCUGCUAUUCCUGCUUGGGAACCUGACACACGGGCCCGCUUUCUUGCAUGUGUUGU
rnacentral:miRNA from 12 species